rnacentral:rRNA from 1 species
CCUACGGGGGGCUGCAGUGGGGAAUAUUGGACAAUGGGGGCAACCCUGAUCCAGCCAUGCCGCGUGUGUGAAGAAGGCCCUCGGGUUGUAAAGCACUUUCAGUGAGGAAGAACGCCUGGUGGUUAAUACCCAUCAGGAAAGACAUCACUCACAGAAGAAGCACCGGCUAACUCCGUGCCAGCAGCCGCGGUAAUACGGAGGGUGCGAGCGUUAAUCGGAAUUACUGGGCGUAAAGCGCGCGUAGGUGGCUUGAUAAGCCGGUUGUGAAAGCCCGGGGCUCAACCUGGGAACGGCAUCCGGAACUGUCAAGCUAGAGUGCAGGAGAGGAAGGUAGAAUUCCCGGUGUAGCGGUGAAAUGCGUAGAGAUCGGGAGGAAUACCAGUGGCGAAGGCGGCCUUCUGGACUGACACUGACACUGAGGUGCGAAAGCGUGGGUAGCAAACAGGAUUAGAUACCCUUGUAGUC